rnacentral:rRNA from 1 species
AGGAUGAACGCUAGCGGCAGGCCUAACACAUGCAAGUCGAACGAGACCUUCGGGUCUAGUGGCGCACGGGUGCGUAACGCGUGGGAAUCUGCCCUUAGGUUCGGAAUAACUCAGAGAAAUUUGAGCUAAUACCGGAUGAUGACGUAAGUCCAAAGAUUUAUCGCCUAGGGAUGAGCCCGCGUAAGAUUAGGUAGUUGGUGGGGUAAAGGCCUACCAAGCCGACGAUCUUUAGCUGGUCUGAGAGGAUGAUCAGCCACACUGGGACUGAGACACGGCCCAAACUCCUACGGGAGGCAGCAGUGGGGAAUAUUGGACAAUGGGCGAAAGCCUGAUCCAGCAAUGCCGCGUGUGUGAAGAAGGCCUUCGGGUUGUAAGCACUUUAUCAGGAACGAAUCAACAAGGUUAAUAACCGUGUUGUCUGACGGUACCUGAGGAAUAAGCACCGGCUAACUUCGUGCCAGCAGCCGC